rnacentral:rRNA from 1 species
UACGGAGGAUCCGAGCGUUAUCCGGAUCUAUUGGGUUUAAAGGGAGCGUAGGUGGACUGGUAAGUCAGUUGUGAAAGUUUGCGGCUCAACCGUAAAAUUGCAGUUGAUACUGUCAGUCUUGAGUACAGUAGAAGUGGGCGGAAUUCGUGGUGUAGCGGUGAAAUGCUUAGAUAUCACGAAGAACUCCGAUUGCGAAGGCAGCUCACUGGACUGCAACUGACACUGAUGCUCGAAAGUGUGGGUAUCAAACAGGAUUAGAUAC